GUGAAAAAGAAAAAAACAUUAAUGCACAGGAUCCUAUAAGAACUCUAUAUUCAAGCGUGCUUGGGUGAGAAGUACUAGGAUGGGUGACCUCCUGGGAAGUCCCCGGGUCGAACACC
rnacentral:rRNA from 1 species